rnacentral:tRNA from 1 species
GACUUUUUAGUAUAAUUUUAGUAUGUUUGAUUUCCAAUUAACAGGUUUAGAAGUUA